GCAAGCCUGAUUGAAGCGGCGAACGUCUGAGUAAUAGGGAGGUAACCUACCGGACAGACUGGGACAACCUGUCGAAAGAUUUGCCAAUACCGGAUAUAGAAAACGAGAUCUUCGGAUCUUGAGGUAAAAGAUGGCCUCUGUAUACACGCUAUCACUGAUCGAUGGGCCUACGCACCAUUAGCUAGUUGGUAGGGUAACGGCCUACCAAGGCUACGAUGGUUAGCUGAUCUGAGAGGAUGAUCAGCCACACUGGAACUGAAACACGGUCCAGACUCCUACGGGAUGCAGCAGUGGG
rnacentral:rRNA from 1 species